rnacentral:lncRNA from 1 species
AUGGGAAACUCCCAAGAAACCACCCCAGUUUCUCAGCUUAACAGCCGUUUUUCUCCCUGCCCUGUUUGGGCGAGCUGUAACUCCAUCUGUAUUCAGGACAAGCAGCAGCGUUUGCUGGAUUUCAAAGCUCAGCCCGCAGCUGCCUGCAGCAGGACGCGAGCAGACCGUGCCCACAGCUGGGCUCGCGAGCUGCCCUCGGUGGCUCUGCACCGUGGGCAUCAGCACACACAGAGCAGCCUCUUGCUUCCGCUGACAGCCACUUCUGCCCAUCUUCCAGGGGCUGCAACAGACCAGGGACAGCCUGGCAUCCAGAGGGUAGAUUCCGCUCUGCUUCAUGUCAAAAUUCCCCUCAUUUCCCCUAGAAAGCAGGCACGCAUGGGGCUAUUUUUAACCUCGGUUUAUUUUUACAGUCUUUCAAGCAUUGCCUCUCACACGGCUGUGAAGAGAGCUCCCGGUAAUUACAGCGCAGCAUCGCUACAUCCACUGCAGCAAGGCAGGGCCCUCGCUCCCCAGCCCCAGGUGCUGCUCGGGGGCAGCGAGGACAUCCCUUGCCAGCAGCCUGCAGCCCCACCGCUGGAGAUGGGUCCAGCUGGGUGCACCCCUGUCCCCGCAGCACUGCCCCAGGACUGUCAGGAGGGAGAUGCUGCGUGCAGUGCCCAUCCCGCACCACGGAGCAGAUCGGCUGCAGGGUGGCAAAAUGGUCUGGGGCAGAGCCAAAGGCUCCUGAAAAAGCAUCCAGAGCUCUGCCCCAUGCAGAGCCCGGUGGCAGGCGGCUGGGGAAGGGGCUCGGGGUGCUCACAGCUGCCUCUCACCCCGCCGUCACCUCCCGGAGCAUCCUCCCAGGGCUCCAGCCGGCUUCCCCGGGGGAAACCGCAGCCCUGCCGCCGUGCCACACUGCCCGCCGCCACGGGUCCCCCGUUACCAUGGCAAUGCUGUCAAGGUUCAGAUAACAUUUUCCUCCAUCCCAAUUUCUGCCGCCGCUUUGUUUCUCCCGCUCGGGCUCCGCUGGACACGGCGGCACAGCUCGCCUCGCCGGGCAGCGGGGAAGGGGCCUGGCCGCGGGGCUGCUGUGCCGAGAGGGCUGCGGGCGCCUUGCGGGGAGCCCGUGCUUGGGAAUAA